UUCUUUCAGUCUCUCAACCUCUCUCUCUAACUCUUUUACCUUUUCGUUAACCAGUUUGACUUUCUCAUUCUCUGCAAUACGCAUGUCUCUUUCUCUUUCAAAUAUGAUUUCCUUCUCAAUCUCUUUCAAUCUCUCAAUCUCUCGUUCUAACGCUUUUAUCGUUUCUUCUGCCUGUUCCACUUUCUUCUUCAUUUCUUGUCUUUCCAAUUCUGCUUUUCUCUUCCUUUCCAUCUCCCUUUCUCUCUCUCUUUCCCUCUCUCUUCCUGUUUCAAUAGGUUUGUUGUUCCAGGCCAGUCUUGGUCGCUGAUCCUCCAUGACUUUCUGCCAUAGCCUCAAUCUCUCAAUCUCUUGCUUCAUUUUAAAAGGAGGGGGUAAGAAGACAGUCCCAGUAGGAGACGGAGAUCGUCCAGAAGAAGAAGAGGUGUCCAUCUCGUCAGAGACUUCAGGAAAGGUCUACACGUUUUAUUUCUGGAAAAUAAAGAGAUGCCUUCGUUCAGCAACAAUGUGUGUUUCUAUGUUUCUGUCACUAGAUGGUGCCAUUGUACACAACAUUUACUCACCAGGUCAGUGAAUUCAGAAACAGUCUUCAGAGUUGAGUCCUCAAGCUCUAGCCUACAACCCAUCAUGCAUCAGCACAACUAAUAUAAUAAUAUCUCAUCACAGUACACCUGGAUUGUGUUCACAAAGUGUUUCAGGGUAGGAGUGCUGAUCUAGGAUCAGGUUGCCUCCUGUCCAUCAAAACGUAUUCAGUUUAAUUUAAAAGACCAAACUGAUUAUUGAUCAGCACUCCUUCUAUGAGACUUUGUGAAUAUGAGCCUAUGUGAAAGAACCUUUCUGGCAUAUGCUGGCUAGACAGUACACAGACAAUUCAGAUAGUCCGACAGACAGACAGAAGAGUAGAUACAGAUGGAGUGAUUGAUAGCAACAGAAAUAACGAAGCGGAUGGUUAAUGUAUUGUAAACUUUUGUAAAUAUUUGACUCACCUCAAAUCACACGUGUCAAACCUCAGUUUUAGUGUUGAACCGAAUAAUAUCCUCGGCAUUAACUUUCUCUGGUCUGGAGCUGUAUUGUUGCGUCAUUUGGAACGCUUGAGCGUCAUAAUCCGUUCACCGCGCCUGCUUGAUUGACAGCUAGGGGUUCUCCUGCGCAUCAGUGUCC
rnacentral:lncRNA from 1 species